CUUUUAUGGAGAGUUUGAUCCUGGCUCAGGACGAACGCUGGCGGCGUGCUUAACACAUGCAAGUCGAACGGGGUUUAACGAGAAGCUUACUUUUUGUUAAACCUAG
rnacentral:rRNA from 1 species